GCACCUGACCAAAAGGACCAAUGGUGAAAGAAGAUACUUUCAAAUCUGGUGGGGAAGGGGGAGGCUUUGUUUGUGCUCUUUGUGCUGGGGUUUUCUCUCGGGACUGAGAGGGCCAGGCAGAAAUCCAUCUCCUCCAAACAAUCCUGAGUCCCUUAUAGAAGAGACAGUGCUUCCAACGGGAGAGUUCCACUGGACCUGCAAAUACUCAUCUAUAGACUCUCCACGCAAAGAACACUUCCUGCAGCUUAUUCUGCUCUGGGGCUUUCGUAUCUGAAGUUUGGCAGUUAUUUUAAUCUGUAGACAGUGGGAGGUGGAUGCCACUGAAUUCUGUCCAUGAAUUCAUCAGAACCUACAAAAGGCACAUACAGAUUUCCUCUUGAAGGGCUAAAUCCAAGGACCCCACUUGAGUAAUGAGCUGUGCAAUAGGUAUUUCUAUCAGGGGAAAGGAAGGAAUUCUUCUCCACAAGCCUUGGAGUGGCUAAGGAUCUGUUUAGUGGGAGUUUCUUCAGACCAAUGCUGAGGAACUUUCUCUAGCUCCAUUGUGUUCCUGCUGCAGAGGAAAGACUAGAUAAGCCAUGAAAUGGUGAAUCCUCUAGUUCUUCCCAUCAUUUGCUCAGACCCGCUCCAUUCUCACAUGCCCAUGCACUGCCACACAAUUAGGACAGGCUGAAUGUGCAGGGCAGGCACCUCCAAAUCCAGCCAACCCUUUCAGAGCAGAAUUGCACUGGUUCACUUCAAGCGGGACUUUUGUGGCAGUGGAGGCCACAGUGGCAUCUAAACAAAGACAAGGCUUUCUUUCCUGUAUCACUCAGCUGCUACCAAAAUGGGGAUUCAGCUGUAGUACAGUGAAUACUGGGAAAAGGUAGUAUAAGGAUUUUGCAUGACCUUUAAAAUGCUAUGGGAUGGUGGGGGUAUCCAUGGUCUGACCAUGUGAGAGGCUCAGCACCCGCAACUUUCACUGAUUUCACUGACAAUGUUCACCCUUCCAGAGGAUCCAGCCUGCAAAGGACUUGCAGAAUGAGGUCCCUAGUACCUGGAUCAUCCAUUUAGCUUGGUCUAAGCUCCCUCAAAUAUUGCAGAUUGAAAGCCCGAAUGAGAUUCAAAUGCUGUUGGGAUCACAUUCAACACAGGAGAGACUGUCAAGAAAACAAAGAAAGGAGAAGAGAGAAAAAGACCAGUGAAAAUACGAUGAUAGAUGGCAAAGGGGGGGACACAAGAGAGGGAGAAACCAAAUAAGAGAGAGAAAAUGAAGAGAAGAGAGAGAAAAAUUCUAACAAAAUGAAACACAAUAUACAUACAAACAGAGAGGGAAGCAGGGGGCAGCACAGCUCCCCCUCCUCUGCCUGGUUUGGGGAAGCACAACUCCUCCUCUUCCUCGGCUUCCUUUAACCACUGCAUGCAAAUAUAUUUGAUAUGCAUUUAAGACAAUGACCAAUAAAAGAGAGAAAAAAGAUGGGUAACAGAUGAAUCUACAAGUAUGAUCGUUAAUGCCAGCCUUUCUCUGAGAGUGUAAGCAAGUGGACAUUAGUGGGACAUUCUUCUAGCCUUAAGAGACGGCAUCUUUUUGAAUGGAAUUUUUUUAAUUGAAUCACAAAUGUAAAACAUGGAGGAAAAUGUGUAAUAAUGUAGAUUCUAAGGCCGAAGGGUCCACUGUGAUCUUUUAUUCUGUAUAACACAGGUCAUAGACUUCCCAAAAUAUAAGAAGUUUUGAAUGUGUUAAUUACUUUUGCAUGCCCUUCAAACCAGUUUGAGAAGGUACCAAAAUCUCAAGCUCCCUAAAACUUACCUAUCUCUACCAGCAACAAAAACAAAGGGAAACAUGCAGGAAAUUAAGUUAGUCAUUUUAUUUUAGUGUCAUUUGACUUUAUUAUCGAUCAGUCUUACAGUAUCUGUUGGGUCUUAGAAAUCAAGUGCUAAAUGAAUCCUGAAUGUUGUGCUGUUAUCUCAUUUAAAAGGAUCCAUUCUAGUGUCAUUGUCAAAGCAAAAUGAUAUGACGCACCCAUGUACAGUUAUAUUAUGAAACUUCAUUAUCUUGUGACUCUCAAAAAUGUCCAACUAACAUUGAAAUUAACAGGCAUAAUCAGAAAGUUUUAUUUAUUCUGCAAUAUUCUGGUUUGGGGAUGGACAGUUGUCACCAGGUAUUGUUUAAAUAAUAUAAGGAAUUUCAUGGCUAGACUAUUAGAACAGUAUACAUUAAUGCAAUUGUGGUAAUAAUAAUAAAAAAAAUAAGAAAAGAUGUUAAUCUGAGAGCAAUUUUGCACAUACAAGGUCCUCUCUCCCUUAAAGAGAUGAAAUUGUGAGGGGCUAGAGGUUUCCAAAUAAUCUCCAUCUCAGUGCAUUGUCUAUUCAUGUGCUAAGCAGGAUGCUUUUAGUCUUCUAUAUGUGAUUUUUUCCAAUGUAUUUGUCAAGGCAUUUGAGAAGAUUGUAUUUUUUACAGUGUUUCUAAUCUUUUAAAUCAAAGGGAAAAGGGAGAAAAGAAGCAAAGGUUAAGAAUUUGAUAUCCCUAGUAGUGAAAAUAUAUCCUGCUUUGGGAAAAAACUCUGUGAAAUGAGCUGUCAGAAUUUACCUUCUCUCUAGCUGCUACAUUGCACGGGUGUGAAGAGAGCUAGAGCGGCCGCUGAUGCUUUCCUUAGAUUCCAAUGCACCUAAUCGUAUUUUCAAUACCGUACUUUUUCAUCACUGCAGGAGAUGACAGAAUUUUGUGACAAUUCUGGGAAAUGCUUUCUGAUGGUCCCUUCUAUGAAUUAUGAAUAUUUCACAAAAGCACCACAGUAAAUGAAAUAGGUUUGUUCUUCACAGACCUAAGAGCUGGUUAGCAGUUAGUUUCUCAGUUUCUUAUACUUUAGCUCUGAUGUUAUUACUAUUAAGAUACCA